rnacentral:sRNA from 1 species
UGCCCAUCAUACCACCUGGGAGCUACGUGGGGGCACCAGAGAGCGACACAGCUGGGCCUUGGUCUCCCGCCUCCACUCUUGUGAGUACUGGGAUCACCGGCCUGCUCUUCCAAGCUUGGCUCUACCCCGCCGGUCUCUACGGAGCCCUUUCUUUACCUGGAGAGAAUAACCACAAUUUUCAGGGGCAGUUUCAGUUGGCUGGCAUUACAUAGUAAAUCUCCUGGCUGGAGACACUGAAGCGUCUACAAGCAGGCCCUGCCCCUCUCUCAGUAGGAGCAGCCUGGACACAGCCAAGAGGAAGGUGAUAAGUACAAGGCUCAUUUUUGUUCCCUCUGCGACAGGAAACGCCUUACCAAUCGGCAUUGUGUCAGCUGAGCUUUCUGCACUGGGCCUUCCUCAAAACCAGACCACAAGAUACAAGGGUAGGUGGGGCAGGUGAGGAGACCACCUACUAGGUGUCAGCGCACUUGGCUAGAGGCAGGGUCACUGGGCAGCGGUAGAGGGUCUAUUGGGCCAUGAGUGUUGUAGUCCCGCUCCGCUGGCCUCCAACUGACAGCAAUCCUCCUGUAUCUGCCUACUGAGACUGGGUCAAAUCCAGCCAGGACUGGUCUUGAACUUAGCAGAGAAAGCCCCAGCACUCCUGGCUACCCAGCCCCGCCCCUGCUGCACCCCAGCCCUGGCUUCUGUAGCAGUGGCACAGAACUCAGGUUCCUGUGCAUCUAGGCGAGCACCCUACUGACACAGUCAGUCACAGUCACUGUCACAUCCCAGCCACGACAACUUUACGGGUGGCUAUGACCCUUUCCACUCCGCUGUCACCUACCAGCCUACCUAGGGCAGGCAGCCGUUACGUCACCCACCUGUAAAUAAGCCAUGUCUGACCCAGGGCAGUUCUACUCCCUGCUGUGGUGAGGGUAACGUCUCCAAAGGCCCACAGAAUGAAAGCUUCAUCUUGGCCCUGGUACCAAUGGAAGAUGCCAGAAGCUGGGGGGAGGGGGGGAGUUUGGUGAGAAGAAGAUGGAUGCUAAGAGGGUGUGGCCCCUGAAAGCAACAUUAGCUCCUCUUGUUUCUCCUUCUGCUUCCUGGCUGCCCUGGGUGAGCAGCACCUCGAGGGCCUCUGUGCCGUCACUGAAUACUGACUGUUGAGGCCUAAGAGCAUUCUGAAGGACGGAUCUCGGGUAAGGGAGGACUCUGUCCGCUGACUGGCUCUCUUAGGCCUCAUGCUCCCAUGGCGGCUGACCAGGAAACGGGCUGUACGGUGUAUAAGGUCCCAUGAGGGGCAGGGGAGCCAGCACACUUGCCCCUCAUGUCCCCGGCCACCCUCAACGGGCAUCAUCUUCCACAUCCUCCAGCAGGGACUUGAGGGCUCCCCGGUGGGGUGGCUCUGGCCUCAGAGUUCUCCUCAUCUCCAACAUGUGUGAGGGCUGGGCACAGCUCCCGCUCGACAAACCAGUGGUUUCUUCAGAAACACCAGAAGCGUGGCGAACCCCACCAGCCCACACCCACCUCCCCAGGUGCUCACGAAGACAGCGUGAAAAGAAGGAGUUUGCGUGUGAAAGGCAUGGAUGGAUUUUAUUUAUUACCCUAUAUCUACAAUCUGAGG